rnacentral:rRNA from 1 species
CCUACGGGAGGCAGCAGUGAGGAAUAUUGGUCAAUGGACGCAAGUCUGAACCAGCCAUGCCGCGUGCAGGAUGACGGCUCUAUGAGUUGUAAACUGCUUUUGUACGAGGGUAAACCCCGAUACGUGUAUCGGGUUGAAAGUAUCGUACGAAUAAGGAUCGGCUACCUCGUGCCAGCAGCCGCGGUAAUACGGAGGAUCCCGGCGUUAUACGGAUUUAUUGGGGUUAAAGGGGGCGUAGGCGGUUUGAUAAGUUAGAGGUGAAAUGUCGGGGCUCAACCCCCAAACUGCCUCUAAUACUGUUGGACUAGAGAAUAGUUGCGGUAGGCGGAAUGUAUGGGGUAGCGGUGAAAUGCUUAGAGAUCAUACAGAACACCGAUUGCGAAGGCAGCUUACCAAACUAUAUCUGACGUUGAGGCACGAAAGCGUGGGUAGCAAACAGGAUUAGAUACCCCAGUAGUC